UACAGAGGUCCCAAGCGUUGUUCGGAUUCACUGGGCGUAAAGGGUGCGUAGGCGGUCGGGUAAGUCUGAUGUGAAAUCUCGGAGCUCAACUCCGAAACUGCAUUGGAUACUAUUCGGCUUGAGGUCUGGAGGGGGGACUGGAAUUCUCGGUGUAGCAGUGAAAUGCGUAGAUAUCGAGAGGAACACCUGUGGCGAAAGCGGCUCACUGGACCAUAACUGACGCUGAGGCGCGAAAGCUAGGGGAGCAAACAGG
rnacentral:rRNA from 1 species